AUUGAACGCUAGCGGGAUGCUUUACACAUGCAAGUCGAACGAGUGGCGGACGGGUGCGUAAUAUAUCGGAACGUGCCCCGAAGCGGGGGUUAACUAUUGGAAAGAGUGGCUAUUACCGCAUAAUAUUGGAGCGGCCAAUAUCGGAUUAGCAAGUUGUUGGGGUAAUGGCUCACCAAGGAAACGAUCCGAAGCUGGUUUGAGAGGACGACCAGCCACACUGGGACUGAGACACGGCCCAGACUCCUACGGGAGGCAGCAGUGGUGAAUGUUUGACAAUGGGGGAAACCCUGAUCCAUCCAUCCCGCGUGUAUGAGAAGGCCUUCGGGUUGUAAAGGACUUUUGGCAGAGAAGCGGUAUCUGCAGAAUAAGCACCGGCUAACUACGUGCCAGCAGCCGCGGUAAUAC
rnacentral:rRNA from 1 species